GCCUAAUUAGUCCAUAGUUAGACAAUGUUUGUCAAAUACAAACGAAAGUGCUACAGUGUUAAAAUUCAAAAAGAUUUUGAAUCUAAACACGUCCUAAGGCUUUGCUUAGAUGUAAUCAGAUUCACAUCGAUUCACAGAUCAAAAUAAACUCGAUAACAUCCUAACAAAAACCUAAAGGAGAAUAUCAUAUCUUUAAAAGAAAAUGCCGGAGUACUUCUC
rnacentral:lncRNA from 1 species